GGGGAUAUAGCUCAGUUGGUAGAGUGCUUGCCUUGCAUGCAUGAGGCCCUGGAUUGAAUCCCCAGCACCAUCC
rnacentral:tRNA from 1 species